AGACAGGAAAUGAGGAGAUGCGAUCUGCCGGAGGAGCUCUGGCAGGAUCGCUAUCAGGGGCGGUUGGGUGUCGCAGAGCGCGCAGAAGCGCUAUAAGAGCGACUUGUUAGUAGUAGUAGUAGUUUUCUAAAGUAAAAUUUCAUCCUCUUUCGAAGAGGCACUUAUGAAUUUUUGCAUCAGAUCAACCCCCGAGAAGAUAUCGGCACGAAAGGAAUACGCGAGAACACAACAUAGUUAAACCGUCGCCGAGUUUCAUCUACUAUCGUGACGUCACAGAAACGUAGUUACGGCCUCUCCAUUCUCGUAGGCAACGGUUGCACUUUGGAGGGAUCUUAUUAUUUUUAGCUAAUCUACAAGAACCAAGCAUGAAAACAUGAUUAUGUGACCAGUGCGAAUAACCCAUUUCCCUCGCCCUAUGUUCAGUUUACCAGCUACCCCUCAUUCAUAAAUUAUUCUUUUAUACUCUUGCAGGAAUUUUAACGACGGUUCUGGUUCUAUGGAUGCUAGCAUACACACGUUCCGUAACCGCUAUAACUAUGGACAAGUUGCAGUUUGACCUGGGUGACUUCUUGAUCUACUCAGUGCUGGGCAAAGAAAAGAACUGCAAUGCACCGCAUCACUACAUGAUAGCAAUGUCCCAUACCUGGCAUUUGACGUACACAUAAUUGACGGCGGCAAGUUUUGGUGUAGUGGGAGGAUACUUGACAAGCGUGAGGUGCCCAAUGGAUUGAAGAAGCACAAGUUCGAAACAACGAAAAUCAUGGAUAGAUACGAAAUCAUUGGCUGGGAGAAAACCCUUGCUUUGGCGUUGAGGCUGGAGGGCGUAAGUUACCGUAUAACACUUUAAAUUGCAACUGUAAACACUACGCUUUUUACUUGGUGUACGGUAGAACUUUUGCCUGCUGGACCUCUUGGACAUACCAGACACCGGCGUCCGAUUGUCCUGUUGCGAUUAGGAUUGAGAAAGAUAUGGACGUUUCCAAGGAUGAUUUCCAACUGAAGAGCAGCGACGGGACAGUAUGGGAAAUUAAGUCACUGACAGAGGAACAGAGACAUUGGAUCGAUGAACGCCUUGGCAGAAAACCUAAAAAGGGUAAUCUUCCAUACAGUUAACAUUUCUUAAAAUUUGCAUGCAUUCGCUUACAUUCCUGCUUUUUCUUACUUUUUCCUGCCUUCGCCUCCACAACGUGUGAGCUAUACAUAUUGCUUCACAUCAGUUUAAAUUAGAGUGCCUUCAUAGACAGAGUAUGGCCAUUCGUAUCUUUUUACUACAAGAAAACUGUUCCACUUUUUGAUUGGCCAACGAGUUUUAGGUUUCAUGAUGCUCUUACGGCCGUAAAUAAACAAACAAGAUGGCGGCUCACCGUAACAUUGCAAAGAAGCUAAAAUUUGACAAAAUUUCAAUUAUACGGCAGUAACAAUUUGAACUAGCAUAUCUACGAAUAACAUAUGAAAACCCUAUUAAAUCGCCUUUCGCCUUUAUCACAGGAGGAUGUAAGAUGUGCACAAACUGGCUUGCUGAUAACAGCCAUCUUGUUUGUUUACUUACGGCCGUAAGAACAUCGUGUCAGCCUAUUUUCACGCGACCAAUGAAAACCGGCACAGAAAUGGCCAUACUCUGUCUAUAAAGGUACUCUAGUUUAAAUCGUAAAAAAAUAUUACAGAAUGUUCGAAUUUUGUUGACAUGAUACUUCACGCAAGGUUUGAAACGAUCCGUUGCCUUGAACGAGGACUAUUUUGAAAAGUAAUUCAUGAAUUUAAUAAUGGUUGUUUCUACUUUCAUUACUAUUUAGUUUCCGAAAAUAUCUUAUACUAUUCCUGAAAUAUUUACGAGUGUAUUACAUUUCGUCCGACCGCAUUCUAUAAAAACGAUUCUUAGCUCCAGCGUUCACGUAAUUAUCAACGCUGAAAAUUUAAAAUUUUG
rnacentral:lncRNA from 1 species